GAGUUUGAUCCUGGCUCAGGAUGAACGCUGGCGGCGUGCUUAACACAUGCAAGUCGAACGAUGAAGCCCUGCUUGCAGGGUGGAUUAGUGGCGAACGGGUGAGUAACACGUGAGUAACCUGCCCCUGACUCUGGGAUAAGCCCGGGAAACUGGGUCUAAUACCGGAUAUGACUUCCUACUGCAUGGUGGGUUGUUGAAAGAUUUAUCGGUGGGGGAUGGACUCGCGGCCUAUCAGCUUGUUGGUGAGGUAAUGGCUCACCAAGGCGACGACGGGUAGCCGGCCUGAGAGGGUGACCGGCCACACUGGGACUGAGACACGGCCCAGACUCCUACGGGAGGCAGCAGUGGGGAAUAUUGCACAAUGGGCGGAAGCCUGAUGCAGCGACGCCGCGUGAGGGAUGACGGCCUUCGGGUUGUAAACCUCUUUCAGUAGGGAAGAAGCGAAAGUGACGGUACCUGCAGAAGAAGCGCCGGCUAACUACGUGCCAGCAGCCGCGGUAAUACGUAGGGCGCAAGCGUUAUCCGGAUUUAUUGGGCGUAAAGAGCUCGUAGGCGGUUUGUCGCGUCUGCCGUGAAAGUCCGAGGCUCAACCUCGGAUCUGCGGUGGGUACGGGCAGACUAGAGUGAUGUAGGGGAGACUGGAAUUCCUGGUGUAGCGGUGAAAUGCGCAGAUAUCAGGAGGAACACCGAUGGCGAAGGCAGGUCUCUGGGCAUUUACUGACGCUGAGGAGCGAAAGCAUGGGGAGCGAACAGGAUUAGAUACCCCGGUAGUCCUGGCCCUAAACGAUGAAUACUUGGUG
rnacentral:rRNA from 1 species